rnacentral:tRNA from 1 species
UGGGGGGUGGUGAAAUGGCAUCACGUCGUCCUUUGGAGUCGAAGUUGAAGGUUCGAUACCUUCCCCCCCAGCCA